rnacentral:tRNA from 1 species
GCACCCAUGGCUUAAUGGAUAAGGCGCUCUGACUUCUAAUCAAGCGAUUGUGGGUUCGAGUCCCACUGGGUGUG